UACGAAGGGGGGCUAGCGUUGCUCGGAAUCACUGGGCGUAAAGCGCACGUAGGCGGCUUUCUAAGUCAGGGGUGAAAUCCUGGAGCUCAACUCCAGAACUGCCUUUGAUACUGGAGAGCUUGAGUCCGGAAGAGGUGAGUGGAACUCCGAGUGUAGAGGUGAAAUGCGCAGAUAUCAGGAAGAACACCCGUGGCGAAGGCGGCUCUCUGGGACGGUACUGACGCUGAGACGCGAAAGCGUGGGGAGCGAACAGG
rnacentral:rRNA from 1 species